UAACUGCGUGCAGACGUGUGAACUGCAGGACACAUGAACACCGACGUUUUGAACGCAAAUGGCGGCUUGAAAUAAAUUUCAAGCCACGUCUGGCUGAGGGUCGGAUAUGAAAUACAAAUAAAAGAUACCCAUACGUAAAAUGUGUGAGAUGUUUUGGCACGCAUGUAUGUGGUUUCAACGCCAAGUCAUAAAACAGCUUGGUUAGAAUGUAUGUAUGUAAUGCAUUGCGUGUACUUUGUUAAUGUGUCACGCAGCAGGGCAUGUAAAAAUGAACGUCUGUUAUAAUGCUUCAUACAUCAAAAAUAUUAAUACAAUAUCAUACUUGCGACCUCAGAGCAGGCGAGACUACCCGCUAAAUUUAA
rnacentral:misc_RNA from 1 species